UACGAAGGGGGCUAGCGUUGUUCGGAAUCACUGGGCGUAAAGCGCACGUAGGCGGAUCCUUAAGUCAGGGGUGAAAUCCCGAGGCUCAACCUCGGAACUGCCUUUGAUACUGGGGAUCUCGAGUCCGGGAGAGGUGAGUGGAACUGCGAGUGUAGAGGUGAAAUUCGUAGAUAUUCGGAAGAACACCAGUGGCGAAGGCGGCUCACUGGACUGGUAUUGACGCUGAGGUGCGAAAGCGUGGGGAGCAAACAGG
rnacentral:rRNA from 1 species